CAGAACCACCGGGAUUGCCUCAGUAACGGCGAGUGAAGCGGCAAGAGCUCAAAUUUGAAAGCUGGCUCCUUCGGGGUCCGCAUUGUAAUUUGCAGAGGAUGCUUCGGGUGCAGCCCCCGUCUAAGUGCCCUGGAACGGGCCGUCAUAGAGGGUGAGAAUCCCGUAUGGGGCGGGGUGUCUGCGUCCGUGUGAAGCUCCUUCGACGAGUCGAGUUGUUUGGGAAUGCAGCUCUAAAUGGGUGGUAAAUUUCAUCUAAAGCUAAAUACUGGCCGGAGACCGAUAGCGCACAAGUAGAGUGAUCGAAAGAUGAAAAGCACUUUGAAAAGAGAGUUAAACAGCACGUGAAAUUGUUGAAAGGGAAGCGCUUGCAACCAGACUCGCUCGCGGGGUUCAGCUGGGCUUCGGCCCGGUGUACUUCCCCGCGGGCGGGCCAGCGUCGGUUUGGGCGGCCGGUCAAAGGCCUCCGGAAUGUAGCGCCCUUCGGGGCGCCUUAUAGCCGGGGGUGCAAUGCGGCCAGCCUGGACCGAGGAACGCGCUUCGGCACGGACGCUGGCAUAAUGGUUGUAAACGACCCGUCUUGAAACACGGACCAAGGAGUCUAACAUCUACGCGAGUGUUCGGGUGUCAAACCCGUACGCGCAGUGAAAGCGAACGGAGGUGGGAGCCCCCUCGUGGGGCGCACCAUCGACCGAUCCUGAUGUCUUCGGAUGGAUUUGAGUACGAGCGUAGCUGUGGGGACCCGAAAGAUGGUGAACUAUGCCUGAAUAGGGCGAAGCCAGAGGAAACUCUGGUGGAGGCUCGCAGCGGUUCUGACGUGCAAAUCGAUCGUCAAAUUUGGGGUAUAGGGGGCGAAAGACUAAUCGAACCAUCUGGUAGCUGGUUCCUGCG
rnacentral:rRNA from 1 species